rnacentral:lncRNA from 1 species
GAUAUAUGACAAAUUCCACCGUGGUUGAAAAGUCCAUGGUGUAGUGGGACUAGGAAAAUGAGGGCCUCAACCUGUCCAGACAAGGAAAUGUCACAGAUGAAGCAGCACGUGGGCUGAUGUUUGAGAGGAAUGAGCCUUUCCUCACGAGGCGAGGCAGAUCCUGCUCUCCUCCCUCCACAGCACCACACUGUAAAGGGAAGAUGGAACGGCGCCUGGCCAAUUUUUCAGUUCCCACGGGGAGGAGAGGAAGUCAGUGCUCACUUAAGGAACACGUGUGAGCAGACGUGUGUGUGCAUCUUGUGCUCGCUGGGACUGAAAAGGGAACACGCCUUUGCGCCAUUUCCCCCCAGUCGUCAUGAACUGGGAGUGAAGAACUCUGAGGCGAAGCUGUACAGAGAAGUAACCUGGAGGGAUUGUUACACAAUGCAGACAUCACCUUCUAUUUUGUUAAUCUAAUGAUGUAUCGCAGCGUGCUCGUUAGCAAGCUCUGCCUUUAUUAGUACAAGACAGUCAAGCCAAGCGAGCGGUACAGGAUAGUCUCGCGUCCAGAAGGUCACAAGGGCACCUGGAGGGCAUCGUGAGUGAACCUCUAUGGCUUCUCCACUAUUGAAAGCACACAUUUCUAACAGGGUUCGUUGGUGUACAUGUUUAUGGAGAUGGCCACUACAUAAAACAGAUGCUUAUUGUUCAUAAGUAAGAAGUUUAUGAACUGUAUAAGAACC